rnacentral:lncRNA from 1 species
GAGUCUUGCCCUGUUGCCCAGGCUGGAGUACAGUGGCGCGAUCUCAGCUCACGGCAACCUCCGCCUUCCGUGUUCAAGGGAUUCCCCUGCCUCAGCCUCCUAGUAGCUGGAAUUAAAGGCACCUACCACCACGCCCGUCUAAUUUUUGUAUUUUUAGUAGAGAUGGGGUUUCACCAUGUUGCCCAGGCUGGUCUUGAACUCCUGACCUCAAGUGAUCUCCCUGCCUCAGUCUCUCAAAGUGCUGGAAUUACAGGCAUGAGCCACCACGCCCAGCCAACUCUCACCACUUCUAUUUGAUACAUGCUGGAGGUUCUAGCCAGGGCAACUAGGCAAAUAAAUGAAAUAAGAGACAUCCAUAUGGAAAUGAAGAAGUACAAUGAAGAAGUAAAGCUAUAUUUGCAGAUAUGAUUUUAUAUACAUAAAGUCCUAAGGAAAUCACAAAAAACUAAUAAGACUAGUAAAUGAGUUCAGCAAAGUUACAGGAAGAUCAAUAUGCAAAAAAAUUGUGUUCUUACACACUAGCAAUGAAUAAUCAAAAAAUGAAAGUAGGAAAACAAUUCCAUUUACAACAGAAUUUGAAGAAAAUACUUAAGGAAUAAAGUUAACAAAUGAAGAGGAAAGUUUGUACACUGAAAAUUAUAAAACAUCAUUGAAAGAAAUUAAAGACGACCUAAAUAAAAGGAAAGACAUCUGUGGUUCAUGGAUAAGAAAAGUUAAUAUUGUUAAGAUGCCAAUACCUCCCAAAUUGACCUAUGGAUUCAAUGCAGUCCUUAACAAUAUCCUAGCUGGCUCCCCCCUCCCAACCCCACUGCCUCUAGAAAUUGACCAGCUGAUCCUAAAUUCAUAUGGAGACACAAGGGACCCAAAAUAACCAAAACAACUUUAGAAAGGAAGAACAAAGUUGGAGGACUCGCAUUUCCCAAUUUCAAAAGUUACUGGAAAACUACAGUGUGGUACUGGCACAAGGGUAGACAUAGAGAUGAGUGGAAUAGAUUUAAAAGUCCAGAAGUAAGUCUUGACACUGUCGAUUCAUUUUCAAUAAGGGUGCUACGGCCAUUUAGUAGGGGAAAGAAUAGUCUUCUCAACAAAUUAUGGUAAGACAACUGGAUAUCUGUCUGCAAAGAAAGAAUGAAGUUGGAAUUCUACUUUAUACCAUACACAAAAAUUAACUCACAUCACUGACCUAAAUCCUAUAGGAGCUAACACUAUAAAACUCUUCAAAGACAACACAGGGGCAAAUCUUCAUGAGCUUGGAAUAGGCAAUGAUAUUUUGGAUACACCAAAAGCAUAAGCAAAACAAUAAAUAGGAGUAUAUCAAAAUUCAAACUUUUUACUGCAAAUGAUACCAUCAAGAAAGUGACAAGAUACCCACUGAAUGGGAGACAAUAUUUGCCCAUCAUACAUAUGACAAUGGACUUGUAUCUAGAAUACAAAAACUCUUAGAACUCAACAAUAAAAAAAAAAUGGAUAAUCCAAUUUCUGGAAGUCAGUCAGAUUUCUGGGAUGAUCACUCCCAUCCUCACAACAACAACAACAACAAAAAAAACUAAAGAAAUUAAUUUUUUCUGGAUCUGUCAGAUAAUAGAGGUCACAAGGCAAACCACCAGCCUUAAAUCUGGAGAGACAAGCAAACGGAGAUCAGCUUACUUGGAGCAGAAGGACCAAGGAAGAUACAAGACAACAGCUUCUGCGAACCAGUAAGAGUGGCCUCAUUAGACAUUGGAUUUGCCAGUGACUUGAUCAUGGACUUCCCAGUCUCCAGGACUGUGAGUUAUAAAGGUUUGUUGUUUAAGCCACCCAGCCUAUGGUAUUGUUUGUUAUAGCAGCACAAAUGGACUAAGGCACUCACGGAGUCUGCAGCUUCACAUGGCUUGAUGAUGGGGAAACAUGGGCUGGAUUCCAGAUUCCACUUGACCCUUCAGCAGAGAGCCUCUGCACAGUGAAAAAUGGAGUUCUUGUAGCUCUCAGGGUCUUUCACCAUAUUUGCUGUCCUUGGGCAAGAUCAGAGUCAUCUUUGGAAGGAAAAGCAUCUCUGGAUUUUGUUAAAUACCAUCUUAGGAAAGUACUCUCUGCUCUUCAAAGUCAGCGACGACAUGAGUCACUGUUACAGAACCCACAGAAUGUGUCCCUUAAAAUACUGAGAAUGAACACUAUUUUACUGCCUGCAUAAUUAGCACUAGACAGGUGAAUUUAUUACUACUUCAUUAAAUAGAUGAGUUUAUUAACUCAGUGAAGACUUGUGGGAACCUUACUAAAAGAGAUGCAAUUCCCCAGCCUCAAGAUGCUCACAGUCUAGUGAUGAGGAAGCUGGCAAUUCCACUAUACAUGGCUAAAUGCCAGAGUAGUGCACAGCAUCCUUUAGCGGCAUGAGGAAUGGGCUCAUAAGCCCACAGUGGAAUGCAGGGGUUCUACACAAACGUAGCUUAAUCUGAGCCCUGGAGGGUGACUGAGCUCUAUUAGCCAGAGAAUCCAAAUCACUAUAAAACUCCCAGAGAACAAAUGUCAUGAUGUGAAGACAAAUAACAGGCAGAAAGAGAUGGGCAGGAAGGCAGAAUUCAAACCAUGAUGACGUUCAAGUCACAAAAUUAUCUGCAAGUCAGCAGGAGAACACUGAAGGACUUCUGGAAAGGAGAGUAAAAAGAUUCCUUUCAUGUUAGAAACAGAUUACCCUCUCAAACGGGAGGAGGCUUGAGGGGGAGGAGGCUAGGGCCAGAGAGACUAUUAGGAGAGCCACACUAAGAAACUCUUUCUUCUUUAUUCAAAUGUCACCACCUCAGAGUCUCUCUCUAGCCAUCCUGUAGAUAAUUUCGGUCUCCUAACUGCACCCCAACACUUCCUAUCCCUCAUCUCUGCUUACUUCUUUUCUCUAAGCCCUUAUUCCUCUCUAACAUCCUUCUAGGUAUUUACUUACUUAUAUUCAUUACACUUGUCUAAUGUGGAGUUUCGUUACCUGCUCCAUCCCCAACACCUACUAAGUUGCUACAAGCAUUUGGAAGGAACCCAAAGAUUUGCAGAAUGACUACUUUAAUGACUCAGUGAAUAGUUGAUAGAUACACCAUGUGGAUCAGGGCCUCAUUAUUUAUCACCUGAACCAUUCAUUCAACAUAUGAUUGUUGAAGGGUCUACUCUGUGCCAGCCAAGGGUCCUAGAUGUGAAAUAUACAGCAGUGAACAAAGACCUUGAUCUCACAAAGAUGAUAUUAUAAUGGGCUACGAGGGCAUAGCAAACCCCCAAUAUAUAGCGAGAGACACUUUUAAGAACAAUAGGGCAGGGUAAAGAAAUAAAGAGAUGAAAGGAGGGGCUGUCACAGAAUAAGUUUUUGUCAUGAAAGAUUUCUCUUAUAUUUGAACAGAGACCUCAAAUAUAGGAAGAGAAAGCCAUGUAGAGAUCUGAUAUCUGAAGGCAUGUAAUUCAGCCCUGAAGAACAUAGAAAAUUUUUUUUUGUUAAAAAGCCAUAGGUCUGGUAUUUAGCAAAGACAUGGAAUCAACCUAAAUGCCCGUCGAUAGCAGUCUGGAUAAAGAAAAUGUGGUGCAUAUACACCAUGGAAUACUAGGCGGCCAUAAAAAAGAUGUCCUGGCUGGGCGCGGUGGCUCAUGCCUGUAAUCCCAGCACUUUGGGAGAGUGAGGCAGGCGGAUCACCUGAGGUUAGGAGUUCGAGAACAGCCUAACCAACAUGGAGAAACCCUGUCUCUACUUAAAAAAAAAAAUACAAAAUUAGCCAGGCAUGAUGGCGAAUGCCUGUAAUCCCAGCUACUCAGGAGGAUGAGGCAGGAGAAUUGCUUGAACCUGGGAGGUCAAGCUUGUGGUGAGCCAAGAUCGCACCAUUGCACUCCAGUCUGGGCAACAAGAGCGAAACUCUGUCUCAAAAAAAAAAAAAAAAAAAAGAUGUCCUUUGCAGGAAGAUGGAUGGAGCUGGAGGACAUUAUUCUUAGUAAACUAAUACAGGAACAGAAAACCAAAUACCGCAUGUUCUAACUCAUCAGUGGGAGCUAAAUGAUGAGAAUACAUGGACACACAGAGGGGAACAACAGACACUGGGGUCUCCAUCAGAGGGUGGAGGGUGGGAGGAGGGAGAGGACCAGAAAAAAUAACUCAUGGGUACUAGGCUUAAUACCUGGGUGACAAAAUAAUCUGUACAACAAACCCCCAUGACACAAGUUUACCUGUAUAACAAACCUGCACGUGUACUUCUGCAGUUACAGAAGAUCAAGGAUGGGACUAAGAACCUAUUUCUACCAAUAUCCCAGGUGAUGCUAAUGCUGCUGGUCCCUAAAUUACAAUUUGAUAGCAUCAGUUAAAACAGCUCUCUAGAUAUUUUCAGACAGACUAACACUUGAGGUUUUCACCUCCAAUUUUUCUACUAACCCCAAUAUACUAUCCUAUUGCCUAAGGGCAAAAAGAACUAAAGAAGGUAAAAACAAACUGCAAGCUUCUCUUUCUCUCUGAUACUAACAAACAGGAAUGAAGGUUUGUUAGGAUCAGGAGUGCCAAGAUCAACUCUAUGCUCCUAACAUUAACCACGAAAAAACCCAGGCCACUCAUAAAAUACUCCCUAUAAUGACAGCAACUGACAUUUAGAGCAACUGACUGGCUGCCUACCAAGGCACUGUUUACAUAAAUUCUUCACAUGUAGUAUCUCAUUUGAUUUUCAUAACGAUGAUAGAGAUUGAGAAAAUAAUUAUGCCCAUUUUACAGACAAGGAAAUAGAGGCACACAGAAGUAACUUGUUCAUGUUUAACAAGUGGUCAACAGAAAAGUCAGGAUUUUCACCCAGUGCCUUAUCUACUAGAACACUGGCUGCGCCAGGCAAUGAACCCAGGCAAUCUGACACCUGUGCCCAUGUUCUUAACCGCUCGACAGUGGUUCUCAAACCCUGGUAUGCAUCCAUAUCAAAAGGCCUGAGGUUCCAUGUGCUGCCUUGAUACCUUUGAGACUCACAGGGCCCUGAAGGCCUAGCCAUGAGCUCCCGGCUCUCUCCAGAUAUGCCCUCUCAGUGGGAAAGGAUCCCUGCCCGCCUAGUUCCUCGUGUGUUAACCAUGUUUUAUGUACUGGCUAUUUGAUAUCUGCUAUUCCUAAUCUCUCCCUAAGUCUGCUGAAUCACAGGGCCAGACUAACAACCAAAAUUAUGUGCAUCUUCCCUGCAAGCAGCUUUCACCGGUGGGAGAAAGACAUAUUACAAAAGCAUAGGCCCCAGUUCCUUUCUCUGUCUGCUUCCUGACCCUUGCCUGUAGUGGGCUUCAUGUGGUCUGGUGUGGUGUGAUGUACCAGUGGAACUCUAAGUAUUAAAAUACUAUUCAUUGGCAUUAAUCUCUCCAUGUUGUCACUCAGCCGCUUUUAUAAAAUUAAGACUUAGGCACAAUUCAUCCUAUUUAGCCAGACCACCUGUACCCCACCAGGUCCUCCACAUAACAGGUUUUGCCUCCCUGCCAGCCUGUAGAAUUAUCCAAAUGGUCAAUUAAAUCUUCUUGCAGGAACCAAGGGUCACCCUGCUACCCUCCUGUCACUACAAAAUCAACCUACCAUGGCCCCUGUUGGUUCAAUCUAUUCUCAAGUGCAAGUCCCCUGGGCUGUGAAUAUGUGACUAAUAAACUGCUACCAACCUCUUCUGCAUAGGCUGACUGUAGGGUUUGUGUGUUCAGCCACCUCCUGCCAGUUCAAGUGAUGUCUUAGUCCAUUUUUGCUGCUAUAACAAAAUACCACAGUUAUAAAGAACAGAAAUUUCUCACAGUUCUGAAGGAUGGGAAGUCUAAGAUCAAGGCUCCAGCAGGUUGUGGGUCUGGUAAGGGCCUUUUUGCUGUGUUCUCACGUGGCAGAAGGGUAGGGGAAAAGGGGGAUGGAGGAAUGCUGUGUCUUCAUAGUCUUCAUAUGGCAGAAGAACAAGGGAGGUGAACUCUCUCUCUGAAGCCUCUUUUAUAAGAGCAUUAACUCCUUCAUGCCCUCAUGACUUAAUCACUUCCCAAAGGCCUCACCUCUUAAUAACACCACAAUGGGGAUUAAGUUUCAAUGUUUGGGGGACACUCAGACAGCAGCAGGUGGGGGAAUCCCUCCUUCACCAAUGGGGUGAAUAGGUGACCAGAACCCCCGAAUUACUAAUAAAGAACACAGAAGUUCAAGCUCAUAGAAGUAGUGUAGGGCCUGGGUCUUAUGAUUCUGAUGUGACCACAGUUCAAGAACCACUGCAUUAUUCUACACUGCCUCUUAAAGAGUUGACGGAACUGUCCAAGGGCACCCAGGAAACCAGGGGCAUGGCUCUGCCUGGCACUCAGGCCUACUGAUUAUCAGCUCCCUGCUCCUCUCCAGUAUAAGAUGCCCCUAGAGCUCUCUAUAAGAGGAAAGGGCUGCAGAAUGACUGGUAAUGCCUCUGGAGGCAAAUUCUCAGAAUGAAAGGGGAGGCUUCCCUUAGAUCAGUGCUGUCCAACAGAAAUAUAAUGCAGGCAAGCUAUUCGUGUAAUUUAAAUUUUUCUCAUAGCUACACUGAAAAAGGUAAGAUGAAGCAAGUGAACUUAAUUUCAACAAUAUAUUUUCUUUAACCCAACAUAUCCAAAGUAUUAUCCCCUCAACUUGUAAUCAGUAUAAGAAUUAUUGAGGGAUUUUACUUUCUUUUUUUCAUACUAGAUCUUUGAAAUCUGUUGUGCCUUACCAUUAUAACAUAUCUCAAUUCAGACUAGUUACGUUUCAGGUGCUCAAUAAUCACAUGCGGCUAAUGGCUACACUAUUGGAUAGUGCAGGUUUAGACCUUUUUAUUAAGGCAAUAUAGACUAUAUAAUCAUCUCACAGGGACUUGCUAAGUUCAAAAGACAGCAAAUUAGUUGUAGGUUUCAACAAUCACUAUCAUAGAAACUAUGCACAUUUGUUUAAAUAUGUAACAGAAUUAAAGUAUCCAUAGAAAAAGUGGAAAGUGGGGAAGAAAAGAAUACUUAAAAAUAUACCUUUGAGGCUGGGCACGGUGGCUCACGCAUGUAAUCCCAGCACUUUGGGAGGCCCAGGCGGGUGGAUCACGAGGUCAGGAAUUCAAGACCAGCCUAGCCAAGAUGGUGAAACCCCGUCUCUAUUAAAAAUACAAAAAAAUUAGCUGGG